rnacentral:misc_RNA from 1 species
AUAAAAGAUAAGGCCAGACAUACAAGUGCGAAAGGAAAGAUCCUAAAAGUUCUAAGAAUCCACAGAAGAAUAGAUUAAGAAACAAAAGCUCUAGGAACCCUAGAUAUGAACCUGCUGUAGAUCCUCCCAUUUCAUCCUGGUACGCAUUUAAUGGGGAAAACCGAAGAAUUUGAAGGCUAGAAGAGGUACCCUUCUCCAGAACUGAACCUAGGGAGAUCUACAGAGGAUGAACAGAAAUGGAAGGUUUUCAUCUAGUAACCUCCAAACAUGAAGUCAUCUUUCUUCUCAUGUAGCCAUUAUAAACGCCUGAAUCAAGUUUUCGGCCGUGCGCUUCUGUUCAGAUGUACCAGAUAUUAG